GGAAACAUAAGAUACCAGCAGGCUUCAAUAAGUGGCCAUGUUGAAGAAGACUAGGUGUCAAGAAACUAAGGAAAAUCUACAACCAAUAUGCAGUAAGAAACCAAAGCCCUCUGCCAAAUGGUCCUUGAAGAAUUCAGUCUUGCUACCAAUCAUACAUUUAUUCAACACUAG